UGGGGAAUAUUGCACAAUGGGCGCAAGCCUGAUGCAGCCAUGCCGCGUGUAUGAAGAAGGCCUUCGGGUUGUAAAGUACUUUCAGCGGGGAGGAAGGGAGUAAAGUUAAUACCUUUGCUCAUUGACGUUACCCGCAGAAGAAGCACCGGCUAACUCCGUGCCAGCAGCCGCGGUAAUACGGAGGGUGCAAGCGUUAAUCGGAAUUACUGGGCGUAAAGCGCACGCAGGCGGUUUGUUAAGUCAGAUGUGAAAUCCCCGGGCUCAACCUGGGAACUGCAUCUGAUACUGGCAAGCUUGAGUCUCGUAGAGGGGGGUAGAAUUCCAGGUGUAGCGGUGAAAUGCGUAGAGAUCUGGAGGAAUACCGGUGGCGAAGGCGGCCCCCCUGGACGAAGACUGACGCUCAGGUGCGAAAGCGUGGGGCAGCAAACAGGAUUAGAUACCCUGGUAGUCCACGCCGUAAACGAUGUCGACUUGGACGGUUGUGCCCUUGAGGCGUGGCUUCCGGAGCUAACGCGUUAAGUCGACCGCCUGGGGAGUACGGCCGCAAGGUUAAA
rnacentral:rRNA from 1 species